rnacentral:rRNA from 1 species
AUUGAACGCUGGCGGCAGGCUUAACACAUGCAAGUCGAGCGGGGUGAUGGUGCUUGCACUAUCACUUAGCGGCGGACGGGUGAGUAAUGCUUAGGAAUCUGCCUAUUAGUGGGGGACAACAUCUCGAAAGGGAUGCUAAUACCGCAUACGUCCUACGGGAGAAAGCAGGGGAUCACUUGUGACCUUGCGCUAAUAGAUGAGCCUAAGUCGGAUUAGCUAGUUGGUGGGGUAAAGGCCUACCAAGGCGACGAUCUGUAGCGGGUCUGAGAGGAUGAUCCGCCACACUGGGACUGAGACACGGCCCAGACUCCUACGGGAGGCAGCAGUGGGGAAUAUUGGACAAUGGGGGGAACCCUGAUCCAGCCAUGCCGCGUGUGUGAAGAAGGCCUAUGGUUGUAAAGCACUUUAAGCGAGGAGGAGGCUACUCUAGUUAAUACCUAGGGAUAGUGGACGUUGCUCGCAGAAUAAGCACCGGCUAACUCUGUGCCAGCCGCCGCCGUAA